rnacentral:lncRNA from 1 species
CCGCGACUUCAUCAGAGAUCGUGGGCUUGGGAUAUUCUGUGUGAAUUAUCUUUCGCUUGAGGGGAUAGAGAGAUGAUAAUCUCAAUCAUGGCAGCCAUUUGGAAUCACGGAAUAAAUGGAGUCAGGUCGACCAAGGUUACAAUCCGGCGAAAGCGAUAGAGUUUGUCUGUGAAACUCUGUGUGCGCUGAACACUCUGAAGAAG